UACGGAGGGUGCAAGCGUUGUCCGGAUUUAUUGGGUUUAAAGGGUGCGUAGGCGGCUAAUUAAGUCAGCGGUGAAAUUCCACAGCUCAACCGUGUGAACUGCCAUUGAUACUGGUUGGCUUGAGUACAGAUGAGGUAGGCGGAAUUGACAGUGUAGCGGUGAAAUGCUUAGAUAUUGUCAAGAACACCUAUUGCGAAGGCAGCUUACUAAACUGUAACUGACGCUGAGGCACGAAAGCGUGGGGAUCAAACAGG
rnacentral:rRNA from 1 species